UACGUAGGGGGCGAGCGUUGUCCGGAAUCAUUGGGCGUAAAGCGCGUGUAGGCGGCUCGGUAAGUCUGCUGUGAAAGUCCAGGGCUCAACCCUGGAAUGCCGGUGGAUACUGUCGAGCUUGAGUCCGGAAGAGGCGAGUGGAAUCCCUGGUGUAGCGGUGAAAUGCGCAGAUAUCAGGAGGAACACCGGUGGCGAAGGCGGUUCACUGGACCAUUACUGACGCUGAGGCACGAAAGCGUGGGGAGCAAACAGG
rnacentral:rRNA from 1 species